rnacentral:ncRNA from 2 species
UGGAUUGACUAGGGGUGCCCGCAGAAGGUGGGCUGAGAAUUAGAACAUGUUUCUUUUACCCUUUUAACCUGAUCUGGGUGAUACCAGCGGAGGGAAGUCGCGCGCAAUAUGU